AAUCCCGCUCACCCAAAAAAUGAUUUUUUGUUACCCGCUCAUUACCCCCUCUUCUUCUCAUCUCUGUCGUGUGCCCUAAAUCACCAAAUAAUAGUUUGUUUUUCUUUAGUUGAAAUCCCCCAAAUUUCCCAUUUCCAACAAUACCAGUCAAUACACCUACACCAAUCACACUUCUUUUUCCUUUUCAUUUCACUGGACUGAAACCCUAGAUGAGAAGAAAUCGGAAGAAGGGGAGUAAGGAGGUUUUUGCGCUUUGUUUUCCCCCCUUUCUUUUACAUUGCCUUACUAAGAUGCCAUUGGCUGUUCGCUGAAAUAAAGAGAUAAAAAAAAAGGUUGAAGAAGGUGAAGAAUCUUUGUUUCAGUUUCUUUUACUGUCUUUGCUUAACUAGAGUCAGUGUAUAAAGCAUCAGGGGGAAAAAGAUAAAUAUCAUAAGUCAUUCUAUGGGGGGUCUUCUGGUAAAAUGUUUCAUGGGCCUUCACAGUGAUGUUUUUGAGAAAUAUGUGAAGAACUAGAUUGCGAUUGCUGCACCUUUUCGGGGUGCACCUGGAUAUAUUGCUUCUACCUUCCUAAAUGGAGUGUCAUUUGUUGAAGGGUGGGAACAGAACUUUUUCAUUUCAAAGUGGAGCAUGCAUCAAUUAGAUUCACACUCAAGGAGCAAGAAACAUCUUAGCAACUCAUUGGGAUCGAGCAGUCAAAAUUCAGAAUCAAGUGACACACAAGAGCUAGAUUUGGAGCUUAAACUGUCACUGUAAUCAGUAAUUUUUUUGCUACUAUAAAUGCAUGCUCAUGGAACUACAUUUUAUGCUUUCCUAGAAUUGUAAGUUCAAAUAAGUUGAUAUGAACUAGUUUCAAUUUUUUUUAAAAAAAUUUCAAAGGAAUGUUAUGUAAUCAAAGGUAAUUUGACUUGCUGCAUGAGAUAUAGUGAAAAACAUUUAUCUUCUUGUUCA